rnacentral:lncRNA from 1 species
CCGUGAGAAUCGAGGGAAAGGAAGGCUGUUGUUGGAUCGGGGCUUUGGCAGCAGGGGCAAAACCAGCCUUGCUCUGAUACCAAGUUGAUGCCGCACCAAAUCUGGAGGAAAAACUUCAGUGGGAUUUAAAUCAGAAUAGAAGAAGAGGGAGAAGAGAAAGAGGAGGAGGAGGAGGAGAAGAGGAGAAGAGAAGAAGAGAGGAGGAGAAUAGGUGGAGAGAAAAUGUCUAAUUCUUCAUUAAACCCUAAUCAUGAAAAGAGGUCCCUAUAUAUAGGGCCAAAAUACAAAAUUUGCAUAAAUCCCCUUACACAGAAAUAAAUCCUAAUAAACCCACAAAUAACACAAAUAACCCACAAAUAAGCCCUAAAAUGCAAACAAGCCCAGAAAUAAAAAUAGACAAAUAAAUAUGCAAAUAAAAUGGGUCUGACUC